rnacentral:misc_RNA from 1 species
AAAUGCGAUAAGUAAUGUGAAUUGCAGAAUUCAGUGAAUCAUCGAAUCUUUGAACGCACCUUGCGCUCCUUGGUAUUCCUUGGAGCAUGCCUGUUUGAGUAUCAUGAAAUCUUCAAAGUAAAUCUUUUGUUAACUCAAUUGGUUUCUACUUUGGUAUUGGAGGUCUUUGCAGCUUCACACCUGCUCCUCUUUGUUCAUUAGCUGGAUCUCAGUGUUAUGCUUGGUUCCACUCGGCGUGAUAAGUUAUCUAUCGCUGAGGACACUGUAAAAGGUGGCCAAGGUAAAUGCAGAUGAACCGCUUCUAAUAGUCCAUUGACUUGGACAAUACUUUUAUGAUCUGAUCUCAAAUCAGGUAGGACUACCCGCUGAACUUAAG